UGCAGUCGAGCGGCAGCACGGGAAGCUUGCUUCCUGGUGGCGAGCGGCGGACGGGUGAGUAAUGCAUAGAAAUCUGCCCGGUAGUGGGGGAUAACCUGGGGAAACCCAGGCUAAUACCGCAUACGUCCUACGGGAGAAAGCAGGGGAUCUUCGGACCUUGCGCUAUCGGAUGAGUCUAUGUCGGAUUAGCUUGUUGGUGAGGUAAUGGCUCACCAAGGCGACGAUCCGUAGCUGGUCUGAGAGGAUGAUCAGCCACAUCGGGACUGAGACACGGCCCGAACUCCUACGGGAGGCAGCAGUGGGGAAUAUUGGACAAUGGGCGAAAGCCUGAUCCAGCCAUGCCGCGUGUGUGAAGAAGGCCUUCGGGUUGUAAAGCACUUUCAGUGGGGAAGAAAGCCUUGGGGCUAAUACCCUCGAGGAAGGACAUCACCCACAGAAGAAGCACCGGCUAACUCCGUGCCAGCAGCCGCGGUAAUACGGAGGGUGCGAGCGUUAAUCGGAAUUACUGGGCGUAAAGCGCGCGUAGGCGGUCUGAUAAGCCGGUUGUGAAAGCCCCGGGCUCAACCUGGGAACGGCAUCCGGAACUGUCAGGCUAGAGUGCAGGAGAGGAAGGUAGAAUUCCCGGUGUAGCGGUGAAAUGCGUAGAGAUCGGGAGGAAUACCAGUGGCGAAGGCGGCCUUCUGGACUGACACUGACGCUGAGGUGCGAAAGCGUGGGUAGCAAACAGGAUUAGAUACCCUGGUAGUCCACGCCGUAAACGAUGUCGACUAGCCGUUGGGCUCCUUGAGAGCUUUGUGGCGCAGUUAACGCGAUAAGUCGACCGCCUGGGGAGUACGGCCGCAAGGUUAAAACUCAAAUGAAUUGACGGGGGCCCGCACAAGCGGUGGAGCAUGUGGUUUAAUUCGAUGCAACGCGAAGAACCUUACCUACCCUUGACAUCGUGCGAACUUUCCAGAGAUGGAUUGGUGCCUUCGGGAACGCACAGACAGGUGCUGCAUGGCUGUCGUCAGCUCGUGUUGUGAAAUGUUGGGUUAAGUCCCGUAACGAGCGCAACCCUUGUCCUUAUUUGCCAGCGAGUAAUGUCGGGAACUCUAAGGAGACUGCCGGUGACAAACCGGAGGAAGGUGGGGACGACGUCAAGUCAUCAUGGCCCUUACGGGUAGGGCUACACACGUGCUACAAUGGCCGGUACAAAGGGUUGCGAAGCCGCGAGGUGGAGCUAAUCCCGAAAAGCUGGUCUCAGUCCGGAUCGGAGUCUGCAACUCGACUCCGUGAAGUCGGAAUCGCUAGUAAUCGUGAAUCAGAAUGUCACGGUGAAUACGUUCCCGGGCCUUGUACACACCGCCCGUCACACCAUGGGAGUGGACUGCACCAGAAGUGGUUAGCCUAACUCGGAGG
rnacentral:rRNA from 1 species